rnacentral:rRNA from 1 species
GAAAGCCCUGUAAACGAAACGGCGGACUCUCCGUCCAGGAUCCUGAGUACGGCGGAACACGUGAAAUUCCGUCGGAAUCCGGGAGGACCAUCUCCCAAGGCUAAAUACUCCCUAGUGACCGAUAGUGAACCAGUACCGUGAGGGAAAGGUGAAAAGCACCCCGGAAGGGGAGUGAAACAGUUCCUGAAACCGUGUGCCUACAAUUAGUCAAAGCCCGUUAACGGGUAAUGGCGUGCCUUUUGUAGAAUGAACCGGCGAGUUACGUUUGCCUGCGAGGUUAAGAUGAAAAGUCGGAGCCGGAGCGAAAGCGAGUCUGAACAGGGCGCUUCAGUAGGUAGAUGUAGACCCGAAACCAAGUGACCUACCCAUGACCAGGUUGAAGGUGUGGUGAAACACACUGGAGGACCGAACCCAUGUAUGUUGAAAAAUGCUGGGAUGAGUUGUGGGUAGCGGUGAAAUUCCAAACGAACUUGGAGAUAGCUGGUUCUCUCCGAAAUAGCUUUAGGGUUAGCCUCGGAGGAUGGAUCAUGGAGGUAGAGCACUGUUUGAACUAGGGGCCCGUCAAGGGUUACUGAAUUCAGAUAAACUCCGAAUACCAUUGAUCUUACUCCGGGAGUCAGACAGUGAGCGAUAAGGUCCAUUGUCGAAAGGGGAACAGCCCAGAUCACCAGUUAAGGUCCCUAAAUUUAUGCUAAGUGGAAAAGGAUGUGGCGUUGCACAGACAACUAGGAUGUUGGCUCAGAAGCAGCCACCAUUUAAAGAGUGCGUAAUAGCUCACUAGUCGAGUGGCACUGCGCCGAAAAUAUACCGGGGCUAAGCAUAAUACCGAAACUGUGGGUGCACCCGUCAGGGUGCGCGGUAGGAGAGCGUUCUAAGGGCGUUGAAGGUCGAUCGUGAGGACGGCUGGAGCGCUUAGAAGUGAGAAUGCCGGCAUGAGUAGCGAAAGAUCAGUGAGAAUCUGAUCCACCGUAUGACUAAGGUUUCCUGGGGAAGGCUCGUCCUCCCAGGGUUAGUCGGGAUCUAAGGCGAGGCCGCAAGGCGUAGUCGAUGACAAGCAGGUUGAGAUUCCUGCACUAGUUUAUUUUGUUUAAGCGAUGGAGGGACGCAGGAGGCUAAGGAAAGCGCACGGCUGGAAAAGUGCGUCCAAGCAGUAAGUCCGGUAGCGAGUGAAAUGCUUGCCGCCUUAAGGACAAGCUGUGAUGGGGAGCGAAAUUAAAGUAGCGAAGUUCCUGAUGUCACACUGCCAAGAAAAGCUUCUAGUGAGAAAUAAACUACCCGUACCGCAAACCGACACAGGUAGUCGAGGAGAGUAUCCUCAGGUGAGCGAGCGAACUCUCGUUAAGGAACUCGGCAAAAUGACCCCGUAACUUCGGAAGAAGGGGUGCUGACCGCAAGGUCAGCCGCAGUGAAUAGGCCCAAACAACUGUUUAUCAAAAACACAGGUCUCUGCUAAAUCGUAAGAUGAUGUAUAGGGGCUGACGCCUGCCCGGUGCUGGAAGGUUAAGAGGAUGAGUUAGCGCAAGCGAAGCCCAGAAUUGAAGCCCCAGUAAACGGCGGCCGUAACUAUAACGGUCCUAAGGUAGCGAAAUUCCUUGUCGGGUAAGUUCCGACCCGCACGAAAGGCGUAAUGAUUUGGGCACUGUCUCAACGAGAGACUCGGUGAAAUUAUAGUACCCGUGAAGAUGCGGGUUACCCGCGACAGGACGGAAAGACCCCAUGGAGCUUUACUGUAGCUUGAUAUUGAGUGUUGGUACCGCUUGUACAGGAUAGGUAGGAGCCGUAGAGAUCGGAACGCUAGUUUCGAUGGAGGCAUUGGUGGGAUACUACCCUAGCUGUAUGAACACUCUAACCCGCGCCACU